CAAUGGGCCACUCUCCUUUUGAAGAUAUAAAAGCAAGCAACUGUUGAAAUGCCUUUCUGCAACCUGAGAUCUUUUUACACCAGAUGCCUUGAAAGGACCGGGUGACUGUCUCAAUCCUAUUCUGCUCCAGAUGGUUGCCGGUUCUUCAGCCAGUCUUGAUCCUGUGCCCUGUAACAGCAGCUUCAGCUGCAGACAUUCUAGGUCAUUUCCCCCACAAUCAGAUUUACUUAACUUUUGGAGCCUGACUGGACAAUUAAGAACACAAUCUUAUGCUGAUACAGCAGCUAUGGUACUGGAAUCCCUCCUGUUUCCAUGGUAUCCACAAAGCUGUCCUCCAACACCACUUUUCAAAUGAGUUGAUUUUUCUCUUAUCCGCUUUUUUCACUGUCCAACUUUCACAUCAAUACAUAGAGAUCAGGAAUACCAUGGUCUGAAUAAUCCUGACUUUAAUGUUCAGUGAUACCAAGUGAAAGUUCAGUGAAACCAAGGGUACGGAUGUUGAAUCAUCAACAGGGGAACACACUGACUGACCGAGAUGAAAUAAAAGGAAGAUGGAAGCAAUACACUGAAGAACUCUAUAAAAGAGAUGCAAGGACAACAGAUUCAUUCACAGAGGAACUGUAUGAUGAAGAACCAGAAAUUUUAGAAUGUGAGGUGAAAGCUGCUCUUAAAAUUCUUGGAAGAAACAAAUCAUCAGGAACAGAUGGCAUACCAACAGAGUUGGUACAACCUACCGAGACUGAAUCUGUCCAAAUUUUGAAGGCAAGGGACCAUAAGCUCAGAAGCAGAGCACAUGGCUUGUAUGCAGAGAGUCCUAGGUCCAAUCCUUGGCUUCUCCACUUAAAAAAGCAGUUACUUUUUUAAACUACAACUCCCAUGAGCCCCAGCCAGCAUGGCCACUGGAUUGGGCUGAUGGGAUUUGUAGUUCAAAAAAGUAACUUUUCCAAGCUCUGGUCCUUAGUAUCUGAUAUCCACAAGUACACUGCCUUUAAACAUGAAACAUCAUUUAACUACUUGUUUAAUAAUCUCUGAUAGAUAAAUGUAUAACUAAUGGCAUACCAAUAGAGUUGCUACAAGCUACUGAGACUGAAUCUGUCCAAAUUUUGACAAAAAUCUGUCAAGAAAUAUGGAAAACUAAACAAUGGCCCACAGACUGGAAGUGGUCAAUAUACAUCCCAAUUCCAAAGAAAGGGGAUCCCAGGGAAUGCAGUAAUUAUCGAACUAUUGCCUUAAUAUCCCAUGCAAGUAAAGUAAUGCUCAAGAUUCUACAACAAAGGCUCUUACCAUAUAUGGAGCGAGAAAUGCCAGAUGUCCAAGCUGGAUUUAGAAAGGGAAGAGGUACCAGAGAUCCGCAAACAUACGUUAUAUAAUGGAACAGACCAAGGAAUUUCAGAAAAAAAUCACCCUGUGUUUUAUAGCCUUUGAUUGUGUAUACAGUAGGGCCCCGCUUACCAGAGUUCUGUUUUGCGGUGUUCUGCUGAUGCAGCGGCUCUAAAUUAGGGGAAAUUCCCUGUUUUAAAGCCGAUUUUGCGAUUUUACGGCAUUUUGUGACAUUUUCGUGUCAUUUUUGCACGAUGCAGCCCAUUAUAGUCAAUGGGUUCCGCUUUAUGGUGAUUUCCGCUUUAUGGCGGGGGCCUGGUCCCUAACCCGCUGUAUAAGCAGAGCCCUACUGUAUCAUGAAAAACUAUGAAAUGCCUUAAAAGAAAUGGGGUGCCACAGCAUCUGAUUUUUCUGAUGCGCAACCCGUUGGAAUAUGUGGUUCAACUCUAUUUACAAUUGUUGGAAAGAUAUAAAAUGGAUAAGAAAAUGUAUGGUUUUGAAAUAAGUAAAUCUGAUUUUGAAAUAUGUCUGUGUACAAAUGAUGAAUGUAUAAUUGCGAAAAUGUAUAAACUUUUGUUAAAAAUGGAAAUGGAAGAAGAACAAGUAAAAGAGUGUAUGGUAAAAUGGGCAAAAAAAAUGGGUUAUAACAUACAAAUGGAUCAAUGGGAAAAUAUGUGGAAAAAAUGAUUGAAAUUUACACUAUGUUACAAUCUUAAAGAAAAUUUUUAUAAAAUGAUGUAUCAUUGGUACAUGACUCCAGAAAAGUUGUCAAAAAUGUAUAGCAAUGUUCCUAAUGUUUGUUGGAAAUGUAAACACCAAGAAGGAUCAUUUUAUCAUAUGUGGUGGUUGUGUAAACAGGCGAAAUCAUUUUGGGCACAGAUAGGUAGGAUGAUGCAAAAAAUUCUAAAGACAAAUAUUCAAUUAAAGCCAGAAUUUUUUUUAUUGGGUUUUAUGGAUAAACAAAUAGAAAAGAAAUAUGGAAGAAUAAUAUUAUAUAUGAUUACGGCAGCAAGAUUAUUAUAUGCACAAAAGUGGAAAAUGGAAUCAACACCAACAACGGAAGAAUGGCUAUUGAAAUUAAUGGACUUAGUAGAGAUGGAUAAAUUGACAUGCUUACUUAGAGAAAAAUCGACAGAUACAUUUCUUAAGGAAUGGAAGUCUCUCUUAGACUUUUUGCUGAAAGAUCAAAAUGAAAUGAUGAUAAUGGGAUUUGACGAUUAAUUAAGAUAGCCUAUGGAGAAAAGUGAUCUUGUAUGUAUUAAGGGACAGGUUUGAUAUAUAUCAUAUACUUAUAGCUGAUCUGCGACAAAUUGUAAGUCAAGAU